UACGAAGGGGGCUAGCGUUGUUCGGAAUUACUGGGCGUAAAGCGUGCGCAGGCGGUUCGCCAAGUCAGGUGUGAAAUCCCCGGGCUUAACCUGGGAAUUGCGCUUGAAACUAGCGGGCUUGAGUGUGGCAGAGGGGGGUGGAAUUCCACGUGUAGCAGUGAAAUGCGUAGAGAUGUGGAGGAACACCGACGGCGAAGGCAGCCCCCUGGGUCAACACUGACGCUCAUGCACGAAAGCGUGGGGAGCAAACAGG
rnacentral:rRNA from 1 species